UACGUAGGAGGCGAGCGUUGUCCGGAAUUACUGGGCGUAAAGCGCGUGUAGGCGGCCUGCCAAGUCUGCUGUGAAAGCGCCUGGCUUAACCGGGCGAGGUCGGUGGAAACUGGCGGGCUGGAGGCCGGUAGAGGGGGGUGGAAUUCCUGGUGUAGCGGUGAAAUGCGCAGAUAUCAGGAGGAACACCGGUGGCGAAGGCGGGUCUCUGGGCCGAUACUGACGCUGAGGAGCGAAGGCCAGGGGAGCAAACGGG
rnacentral:rRNA from 1 species